rnacentral:tRNA from 1 species
GUCAAGUUGGUCGAGUUGGUCUAAGGCGCCAGUUUCAGGUACUGGUCUGAAAGGGCAUGGGUUCAAAUCCCAUUCUUGCCA